rnacentral:lncRNA from 1 species
AACAUGGCUCACGUCAUAAUGCACAUAGUUCCGUCUGGCAGAUAUACGUCCACUUGAGAGCAUGCGUGAUAUAAAUAUCGACGGUGUAAGUCCGCAACCACGUAUCUUGGUUACCGACGUCGUAGACUUCCUGCCAUACUUUAUAUUUUAAACAGAAAACUACUCAACGGCAAUGGAGAUGUUGCAUGUGUGAGGAUUUUGCGAUUUGACUGUUGAUUCCUCUGUAAAAGUUUGCGAGAAACACGAUGGUGCUACUGGUUUUCUCUGAAAUCAACUCCCAAGCUCAAAAAAAGCUCUCAAGUUGAGGCCAAAAUGGAGGGAAUAUCCCACCCUACCCUGAGAGUCCACCUCUACAUCAAGACAAACUCUCCAUGCAAAGAUAGGGAGCAAAUACACUGACAGGGCUGCCACUUUAUUUGGGGACUCCAAAACUGAAAACACGGCAACCCUGCUAAUGUAUUUGCUCUCAACCUUUGCAUGGAGAGUUUAAGUCUUGAUUUAGAGGUGGACUCUCAGGGUAGGGUUGGAGAUCCCCUCCAUUUUGGCCUCAACUUAAGAGCUUUUUUUGAGCUUUGGAGUUAAUUUCAGAGAAAAACCAGUGGCACCAUCGUGUUUCUCACCAACUUUUACAGAAGAAUCAUCAGUCAAAUCGCAAAUUCCUCACACAUGCAACAUCUCCACUCUUUAAAACUGCCGUGCUUUUUCUUCUCUGUGCGAAGAAAAUUCAGCAAAAACUUCAAGGAAUGACGUCAAUUUGCUCUCCUUCAAAAAAAUAAUAUAGAGGCGGAGAUUCUCGUACACCGCAAAUGAGAUACGCGGUUGCGGACUUACGCCGUUCAUAUGAGGAACGCAGAUAAAAACAGAACCCUUUUUUUUGGAGAGCGAAAAUUUCACGGAGGAGUAGCGAUGGGGGAAUCUGAAACCUAGUAGUCAACUUGUUUUUAGAUCAUGAGGAUCUCCGUGACGGUGCUAUUCUUGGUUUUCUCCGUUUUAGAUCUGCCCAGUUUUACCGUUGCUCCUACAGCAUCUGAGGCUGGGUCAGAUGUCCAAGUCGACAAUUCUAAAACGGCAUGGUGGAACUGGGGCCGUGAGCGUUUCUCUCGGAGCUUCUCUUCCGGGACCACCACCAAAUUCUUCAGAAGAAAACGGACAUCAAGCAGCAAGAGACUAAGAAGAACAGUUUCAAAAGCUAAUGAGUGGUUGGAACUUGAGCAAAAUCAUGGAGACCUACGGACACAAGUUCAACAAAUAGAAACAAAACUGAUCAAGUACUUUGCGCAGGAAUCUGUCGACGGCUCUCUGCUCUUGGCCGAUAUCGCAGAUGAGAGACAAAUCUUCAGAUAUCAAUCCAAAUUAGCUAUGUCGAACCCGGCCCCGGAUAUGCCGGACCAAUUCCCCAUGCAUUUAACACAAGAGGAGAAAGAUGAAGAAAGGAACGUUCAAAACUUCGGAAAGCACUGUAUCCGCCGGUGCUUGCACAUCUACGGCUACGUCUUCGCUCCGUUGCAGGAGGGUUGCUCGGCAGAGUUCACCAUGAGUGACGAAGUUGUCACGAAAGACAAAGGGGUCAUCAUCCCCCUGACCGACGGAAUAGUCGAAUACCUGGGUGAAGUGGGUCCAGCUCCUAAGCCCAAGGGUCGCAAGGGUAGCAACACACCCUCACCGAGUCGGACCUCCUCAAACAGCCCCCCGAACGAGUUGAGACUCGUUCGGCAAAAUUCGUUCCAAAACGUCGUGUGCCACUGCAAGACCAGGGAAGAUCUCGGCGCGCUGUUUCUGGAUAAUGGUAUCAAAAUGAACGGUUUCAAGAGCUCCAAAACCAAAUCAUCGCAUGCAGCGCUUAAGAAGUUGCGAAACAUUUUUCAGACGAAAAAGAAUGUCAUCAACCUACUCGGGCAUCGGGAGGCCAUGGGGCUUAUCUAUGUACAGAUGAGCAAAGCGUUAGGACCCGAGCGUCAAAUAAAUGUGACGCAUGCCGAAAGCCGGACGACAGUUAUGGAGGCAAUGGGUGUUGAAAUUCAUGGGCUGAGGGAACCGCUGGAAAUCAUGGGACAUAAAGUACCAUUUAGCAAGAAAUACCGUGGGAAUUACUGGUGGGAUGUCCAAAUUUAGAGGAGAUCAAAUUUAUCGAAAUAUAUGGGAAGCACGACCUAUUGGCCCGAUAGAACGAUAAAGGAAUUUAAGGAAUGGGCAUAAUGAGGCUAAAAUAUGCACAGAAACUUUAGAGCUGACAUAAAGCUUGUGUGCUUCUUAUAACCACUUUCUCUGCGGUGGGGGGAAGAAAACUCUAUGGCUUAUUCUAUGUAGGGGGUAGUGGUUGAUUCAUUUUUAUGGAGCGGUAGGGGGCUAAUUAUUGAAAUUGAUAGACAAAGCGAUAAGCAAAGAAGACAUAGGGAGUAUGGAGCGAUCCUAUUGGUUGAAAUUGGUGGUUCCUAUAAACCAAGAGAGACUAACUAAAGGGUCGUCGGUUGCCGUUAGUUAGUCUAUUACCUAUCUGUUUUGUCCAUUGCAACCACUCGCUUCCACCAAUAGGAUUGCUUUAUUUCCCUUUUGUCCUCUUAGUUUAUCAAUUUAAAUAGCCAGAUCGCAGGUAAAUUUUUCCAAUUGAUAGACAAAGCUAUAGACAAAGAAGGCAAAGGUAAAAAAGAGCGAUCUCACUGGUUGAAACGAGUGGCUGAAAUGUGCGAAGAAACAGUCAAGUAAUAGAAUGUCUAGCGGCAACUCAUAAGAGACUCAAUAACAGUGGCGUGGCUUCCUUUGCGAUAUAUCGAUGGAUCUGCCUUUUAAACCUAUGUAAAAGGAUCGAUAGACAGGGUGUUACCAGUGGCGUGGCGUGAAUUGCGAUGUAUCGAUUGUUAUGCCAUUUAAACCUAUGGUAAAGAAUCGAUUAUUAAGGCGUCCGCUGCGAACACCCUGUUUAUCGAUCCUUUUCCAAGGGUUUAAAUGGCAUAACAAUCGAUAUAUCGCAAGGCACGCCACGCCACUGGGUGUUACUAGGUGUUCGCAACGAACACCUUAAUAAUCGAUUCUUUACCAUAGCUCCAAAUGGGGAAACAUCUAUAUUACCGGUGACAUUUUUAAAUCUGACUCGUAACUAUUAACUGUUACCGGGUACAUUUUUAGCCCUGAGUCCGAAAAUGACCCCCGUUAUGCUAGGUCAGAUCAGAGGCGGAUCCAGCACUUUGGCAACACCGUAUUGCCUCCAUUUAAACCUAUGGUAGAUAAUCGAUUCUCGUCGGAGCACCUGGCUCCUCCAAGAAUCGAUACAUUUCCAUAGGUUUAAAUAGAGAAAAGACAAUGUUGUCGAUUUACUGGAUCCGCCAAUGGGUCAGAUCGAUUUUCCCCGGAAAAAUAGGAAUUUUCCCUAAAACUCGAGCUUUUUUGGAGGAAAACCAAUUUACCGGAAAAUCUGUGUAAGAUUGGGAAAAAUUACGGUCAUUUUUGGAUUCAGCAGCCAAAAUUAGCGACCCUGUUUUGCAUGCCUAAUGUAGUUAUUUUUCUGUUCCAAAUAUCAAGGUUUUUCUGAACAAGUGCUCCUUAUCGCCCAUAUAAGACCAUGGUCUUACCACUGACCACUGGUCCAAUUGUUUUGCGUCGGAAAAGAGGGGAAAAUUUGGUUACUCAGGCAACAAGUGGAGUUAUUCCCACUCAAUUUUUGCCGCUGAGGCCGAGCAUGAUCUUUGUUUUCAUUCAAAACCUCUGGAAAAUCAAGAUUCCAAAAUGAGGGGAUUUUUUCAGCUUUUGUGAACCGAAAAAAAUGCAUUAUUUUUAAAAAAUCAAUUUUCGAAAAUGUGGUAGUUUUUGGAAGAAAACGAAGGUCAUAUUCGGCUUUAGAGGCAAAAAUUGAGUUGAAUCAUUUCCUAUUUUUGCCUGAGAAAAAAAAACGUUCCCCUCUUUUCUAACGCAAAACAAUCGGACGAGUUUAACAUGAUGUUUAUGGGCGAUGAGGAGCACUUGUCCGGAAAAACCUCGAUAUUAGGAACAGAAAGGGAACUAUAAUAGGCAUACAAAACAUGGUUGCAAAUUUUGGCUGCAAAAUCCAAAAGUGACCUUAGUUUUUCUCAAUCAAGAGUUCAGUAUUUCUCCAUCGUGCAAAAAAUUUUCCGGAAAAUUGAUUUUUCUCCAAAAAAGCUCAAUUUUUAGGGAAAAUUCCGAUUCUUCCGGGAAGAAUCGAGCUGACCCAGCACAACAAGGGUCGUUUUUGGACUCAGCGCUACAAAUUUACACCGUAACAGUCAAUAGUUAGGAGGAAAAGUUACUCGUGUUUACCAGUGUAAUCGACCAUUCACGUCGUGCCACAGCUCAAUAACCGCCGGUCUCGACCAAUAGGAUUUCUCCAUUUCCCCUCUGUCUUCUUUGUGUAGCAAUUUCAAUAAUCAGCCCGCUGGUAGUGCUUUUCUGUCCAUCUGUGUCCUGUUUUUCAGUUUGUACACUGACUCUUCCCUGGAUCUAAUGCAUGCUCAUUCCCUUGUUUUAAUUUUUUACUUUUGGUUUUUACUCCGGUUGAGUAUAGGCUUGCAAUAAUUGGCCCGAAACGAUCUGGCUGUGUUGCCUUACAUAUUUUAGCCUCGUUGGUAUUACAAGUUUUAUCUGUCUAUUUCUGUUUUUUUUUUUGUUGAGACUAUACCCUAUAUUGACGCUAUAUCUUGAAUUCUUUCCAUACAAUACCGGGGAGGGGGGGGGGUCCCUUUGUGAAAUACGUAACACUUUAAAAAGGGAGAGGAAAUCUGAUUCCGCGUUACGGGGGGUGGGGGGUCAAAUCUGCGUUACGUAAAACUUUACGCUGUAAUUAUUCACCUUUUUAUUGAAGUAAUUGUUACAAACUGAUUGCGCUAGACGCACGAGUCAUUUAGACAGUCAGUUGGCUUUUUUUAGCCAACGUGCGUUAAAAAUCAGCAUUAUUGAAUUAAUUCUUGUUUUGAUUAUUUUUUUCUUUGAUUAGAGUAUCUAAAGAAUUUUUGGGCCACUUUAAUUUUCUGCCUUCAUUUUUUGAAAAUAAAGAAAAUUUAAUUGAAAAAUUGAGGUCUAGGCGAUACUGGAGGCGGGUCAGGGGGAGCGUUAGGUAUUUUUUAUGGUGAUAUAAACUUAUGUUCUAGUGCAUCACAGUGAGAAAGGGGUCCAAAAAAUCUUAUUUGUAUUUAUUAUACAUAUUUCAUGAAUGACCCUUGGAUGUCCUGCAUGUAUGAGUAUGAAAAUAUCGGCCACCUCUAAAUAACCAAAAGUUUCCCUGAAAAGUAGAGAGUGAAUUUUUUAGUGGCAAACGGAAAGUUGGGUCCUUGUAGUGAUAUAAGAUUUUCAAUUUAUUAUUUUUGAUUUAAUAAUCGUAUGUUGAUUUAAUUCACAUUUUCAUUACAAGCUGUGCGUUGCGUAGGAGUAAAGGCGUAGAUGCGGAUGUAUCCAUUGUCAAGGAGGAAGCUUUAGACAAAGCCAUAAACAAUGGACGGGUGUAGACAUGAUUGCCGUGGUGAGGAAGAACGCCGUAGGAACAUUCAAGAGUUGCCAAUAAUUUCCUUUGAUAAAAUGUUUGUUUUUAAGGAGUGUUAUGAAUAUUUUUUCUUGACAUUUUCAGGCAAUUUAGACCUAAUUACGAGUAAAAUUCUCCAAAAAAUUUGAAGAAAACAUCCACCAAUAUCCCUCAAAAUUCGCGUUUCAUUCAAGAGGAUGUGACAACGUCUAUAGGUUCUCACGGCUUUCUUCCUCAGCACGGCAUAGUAUUGACAUCGACACUGCGAAGGAGAUAACCAAAUAAACAUCCGUUGUGAUAGACAUAGCUGUGCGGAGAUACUUUCUGCUUCAUAGACACAGUCGUUGCCGAGGAAGCAAAACCAUAGAGGCAGUCUGUGCUUUAGACAUGGCUAUAGACAUGGAGGUUUCCACGGCAACGGUGGAAUUUUUUUUAAUUCAUAAUGUAACAGAUAGAAUGAACACACCAAAAUUAUUAGGGAGGUUCUAAUGAACUCACUCACAGAUCCUCAUAAAUGAGAGAAAAAGGCAGGGGAUGUUCAAUUAACAGUGGCGAGACGUGGAUGAUCGAUUAUCGAUAUUUUCCCCCAUUUGAAGUCGUGGUAAAAAAAUCCAUUGUUAAGAUUAUCGAUCCUUCCCCAUACAUUUAAAUGGCAAAUCAAUCUUGUAUAUGUAUCCCAAAGCACGCCACUCCACUGUUUAUAAUCACGUCCGCUGAUGACACUCGCAAUUUACGUCAGUUAAGUUAUAUCUGAAAACUCCUUCAUGUAAAAAAGUGAGUUUGAUUUACUGAUAUUCUUACUAAAAUUAUUGAAAAAAAUCUAUAAGUCCAGCGUUCCUCUCUGAUUUUUGCUUGAUGUCAUGCAGUUUCAAUUACCCCUCCUUCAGUGCACGCGCGGCGUAAUUUGUGGACACCUCCCAAGCGGACAUAAUCACCAUUGAAUUAAUUAUGGUAGAAAAUAUUUAUUUGCACAGCUUUAUAAACCAAGGAUUUUGUUAAUUAUUAAUUUUGAUGUAAUUAUAAGGCAAAACCACAAAAUUCGUCAAUUUUUCAAUUCGUUUUUGCUUCUUUUGUUUCUGUUUUAUUUCAAAAGACCUUUUUUAUUUAAUAUUUAAAGUCUUUCGAUUUCUUUGUGCUAACGUAACUAAUUUUAAGUAUGUAAAAAUGUAAAAAAAUAGACGAGAAUAAAUUUGAUUUUAAUUUGAAUGUUUUU